AACUUCACGAAUCGCAUGGCCUUGUGCCGGCGAUGUUUCAUUCAAAUUUCUGCCCUAUCAACUUUCGAUGGUAGGAUAGAGGCCUACCAUGGUGGUAACGGGUGACGGAGAAUUAGGGUUCGAUUCCGGAGAGGGAGCCUGAGAAACGGCUACCACAUCCAAGGAAGGCAGCAGGCGCGCAAAUUACCCAAUCCCGACACGGGGAGGUAGUGACAAGAAAUAACAAUACCGGGCUCUUUCGAGUCUGGUAAUUGGAAUGAGAACAAUCUAAACCCCUUAUCGAGGAUCCAUUGGAGGGCAAGUCUGGUGAACGAUUCAACAAGUAUAGCUGUUGACGCCAGAGAUAGUAGGGCACCUUUUUGGUGUUAAGCCCGCUAGUCGAUGCAGCCGCUUUUAUGAUCGGGCUGGCUGCCGGCGAGAUGACCUGGAACGGGGAAGGCCUUCAACCUCUCUUUGUUUGAGGACUGGCUGAUCCCGUGGCGAGCCUGUAAAGAGUGAUCUUUACGAGGCCGUCGUAACGCACGGUAAGGCAUCGGCCCACCUCAAUGAUGUUGAGUGGGCUUAAGGGACGUGCUAAACCCAUCCGAUGAUAAAGGAUGCUCUGACCACUAGCUCCCGAUCAGCAAAGGGUCAAAGAGGGACGAGAGUGUUUGGAGGAAAUGCUAAACACUGUCCGGUAUCAAUGGCCAGCAGCCGCGGUAAUUCCAGCUCCAAUAGCGUAUAUUUAAGUUGCUGCAGUUAAAAAGCUCGUAGUCGGUUUUCGGGCGGGCUGCGCCGGUCUGCCUUUGGUAUGCACUGGCGUGGCCCGCUUUUCUGUCGGGGACGUGCUGCUGGGCUUUACUGUCCGGCACACGGAGUCGACGCUGUUACCUUGAGUAAAAUGGAGUGUUCAAAGCAGGCAUACGCUCUGAACAUAUUAGCAUGGAAUAACGACAUAGGACUCUGGCCUAUUCGUUGGUCUGUGGGACCGGAGUAACGACCAAUGGGGGCAGUCGGGGGCAUUCGUAUUUCGUUGUCAGAGGUGAAAUUCUUGGAUUUACGAAAGACGAACUGCUGCGAAAGCGUUUGCCAAGGAUGCUUUCGUCGAUCAAGAACGAAAGUUGGGGGCUCGAAGACGAUUAGAUACCGUCCUAGUCUCAACCAUAAACGAUGCCGACUAGGGAUCGGCGGAUGUUCUUUCGAUGACUCCGCCGGCACCUCAUGAGAAAUCAAAGUGUUUGGGUUCCGGGGGGAGUAUGGUCGCAAGGCUGAAACUUAAAGGAAUUGACGGAAGGGCACCACCAGGCGUUAAUUGCUCUAGCGCAAGCGGCCGUUGAAAAGAGCGCCGCUAGUCUCUCUCGAGAGGCAACACCGUCAAAUUGCCGGAAACUCCUGCUACGCCAGCGGUACCGCCCUUGAGCCGAAAGGCUCACAGGGCACCUCGGUGAAAGCCGAGGGCAUGGUAAAAAUCCGCUUGGAUAGGGACAAUCGGCAGCCAAGCCCUAACGUCCUCGGACUAUGGGGUGCAGUUCACAGAACUAAAUGGACGGUGGGUCCGGCCUUUGAAGGCCGGCUUAAGAAUAUAGUCCGGGGCCCCUCCCAAAAGGAGAAGCCUGUGGGAGGAACCGGCGACAGCCGGGGAGAGCCCUCAGGGAGUGAAGUAAUAGUCGGUGCAGCGAUGCGCUCGACGGCCGCCGUGCCUCUCACUCGGAGAAACCGGGAGCCUGUGGCUUAAUUUGACUCAACACGGGAAAACUUACCAGGUCCAGACAUAGUGAGGAUUGACAGAUUGAGAGCUCUUUCUUGAUUCUAUGGGUGGACAUGCGUACAGAUUUAGUUGUACCACUGCCCAUGAGAGCGGGGGGAAACCCCCGAGCUAGUCACGCCCCCGCCGCUAUGCUAGGCGGAGGCGCUGGCGAGACCAUCGAAUUGCGGGGACAUCCUUAGAGCCUCUGCUACCAAGCCGGCGUGGAAACACAGCCGGUGGCCAGGUUAAUAGCCUCGGGUAUGGUAAAAACGCAGAGGAUUGGAUUAUCCGCAGCCAAGCUCCUACAGGCUCAUGCCCAUGGAGAAGGUUCAGAGACUAGGUGGUGGUCGGUCCCAAUCCUGGGGCUUAAGAUAGAGUCCGUCACUGUGGAAACACAGCCCCGAGAGGAAAGUUUUAGCAAAACUGGAGCUCGGGGAGGUGCGCAGCAAUGCGCGCUGUGGGUUUACGGGUGGUGCAUGGCCGUUCUUAGUUGGUGGGUUGCCUUGUCAGGUUGAUUCCGGUAACGAACGAGACCUCCGCCUUAAUUUAGUAGGGCGAGGCAGGCUGAAAAGGCCUAGCCUAGUCGGGCGGCGCACGAAUGCGAGAGCGCGCCGUCUGGCGACACCGUCAAAUUGCCUGGACAUCCCGCUAGACCAGCGAUACCGCCCGUGCCUUGAAAAAGGCAUUGGGCACCAUGGCGAAAGUCGUGGGUAUGGUAAAAACUCGCUGGGUAGGGACAAUGGGCAGCCAAGUCCUAAGGCAGCGCAAGCUGCUAUGGAUGCAGUUCACAGACUAAAUGUCGGUGGGUCGGCUCUCGAGCCGGCUUAAGAUAUAGUCGAGCCCCCACCGAGAGGUGGCCGGCGGCCAAAGGGUUGCUCUCGACCCCCGAAGCCACCGGGCUGGAUGUUGUAACAUUACACUCCAGCGGUAUCAGCGGCUAAAUAGUCCACCCCGGUUUUCCGGGUUGCAGACUUCUUAGAGGGACUAUCUGCGUCUAGCAGAUGGAAGCGGGAGGCAAUAACAGGUCUGUGAUGCCCUUAGAUGUUCUGGGCCGCACACGCGCUACACUGACGCGAUCAACAAGCCUAGCCUUGGCCGAGAGGUCCGGGUAAUCUUGUAAUCCGCGUCGUGAUGGGGAUAGAUUAUUGCAAUUAUUAAUCUUCAACGAGGAAUGCCUAGUACGCGCAGUUCAUCAGACUUAAUCUUCGAGGUCUAGUGGCCGGCAAAACCGUGCUGCUAGUCGUGCUUUUGCAAAGAAGGCACGGCAACACCGUCAAAUUGCCCGGACCUCCUGUCAGGCCGUCGGUACCGCCCUUGCCUUGAAAAAGGCAGUGGGCACCUCUGGGAAACUAGGGGGUAUGGUAAUAAUCCGACGUGCUAGGGACAAUGGGCAGCCAAGUCCUAAAGGCCUUUUAUUACAGGUCUAUGGAUGCAGUUCACAGACUAGAUGUCGGUGGGCCUCUCUUUUGAGGCUUAAGAUAUAGUCGGUCCCCUCCGAGAGGAGAGCCCGUGAGAGGAUGUCUCUCUUACGAGACGGAGAGCUCACGGGGGUUGGCAAUAAAUAGCCAGGCACGCAAGUGUCUAGCGGCGGCUCCUCUGGGCUCAGCCUGCUUUCUGGAUCAAUGGCGCGGAUUAC
rnacentral:rRNA from 1 species